rnacentral:rRNA from 1 species
CAGGAUGAACGCUGGCGGCGUGCUUAACACAUGCAAGUCGAACGAAGCACCUCUAAUCGAAGAUUGAGAAAGCUUGCUUUGAUUGAUUCACCUUGAGGUGACUAAGUGGCGGACGGGUGAGUAACGCGUGGGUAACCUACCCUAUACAGGGGGAUAACAGUUGGAAACGACUGCUAAUACCGCAUAAGCGCACAGGACCGCAUGGUCUAGUGUGAAAAACUCCGGUGGUAUAGGAUGGACCCGCGUCUGAUUAGCUAGUUGGUGAGGUAACGGCUCACCAAGGCGACGAUCAGUAGCCGACCUGAGAGGGUGACCGGCCACAUUGGGACUGAGACACGGCCCAAACUCCUACGGGAGGCAGCAGUGGGGAAUAUUGCACAAUGGGCGAAAGCCUGAUGCAAGCGACGCCGCGUGAACGAAGAAGUAUUUCGGUAUGUAAAGUUCUAUCAGCAGGGAAGAAAAAUGACGGUACCUGACUAAGAAGCUCCGGCUAAAUACGUGCCAGCAGCAGC